rnacentral:lncRNA from 1 species
UUGUUCCACCGAGGCCCGAGGACGCUCCCCAAACCCACCCCAAACCAGGGCGUUGGAGGUUCGCUCACUGACCUCUUCAGAGGGAGUUUGACGGGGGAGAGGGACGCCCUGUGUGGGCUGGGCUCAGCCUGGGUCCUGGGUGUCUCUGAGACCGGACCGGACCGGACCGGUGUGAAGGGGGCCUGGCCGCCAGGUGGAGGAAGCGCAGUUCACAGGUGCGAAGGUCCCGUCCAGGGCCCAAGCCGCCGUCCUCAUCUACCGUGGUCACGAGCCUGCCGCUUCCAUGCUAAAUUUCCACCCACACGACGGACUGCCCGAGUGACACGCUCAGCUGUGGGAUGAAGAGCUGAGGAGAAACUCCCCAAGACUGCUUACCUGCUGGCCCCAGGUGUCCUGCGGUGGGGAUGUGGCCUGGGCGGACAGAGACAGGGUCCCUUCUCGGAGCCCGGAGAGGAGCAGCCUCGGGCUGCAAGCUCCGCAGACCUCACUGCAGAGGAAACAGCUGUGGCUGCACCUGGAGCGGGCCACGCUGACCUGCGCAGUGAGAGCCACUUUCGGUGGCUCCUCUCUCUCCACGGCGUGGCCCAGGCAGAGGGACUUCAGGCGGCCUAAGUCCCAGGGCAACCAGCAGUGGAAC